rnacentral:rRNA from 1 species
AACGAACGCUGGCGGCAGGCCUAACACAUGCAAGUCGAACGCCCCGCAAGGGGAGUGGCAGACGGGUGAGUAACGCGUGGGAAUCUACCCAGUUCGACGGAAUAACCCAGGGAAACUUGGACUAAUACCGUAUACGCCCUACGGGGGAAAGAUUUAUCGGAAAUGGAUGAGCCCGCGUUGGCUUAGCUAGUUGGUGGGGUAAUGGCCUACCAAGGCGACGAACAAUAGCUGGUCUGGGAGGAUGAUCAGCCACACGGGGACUGAGACACGGCCCAGACUCCUACGGGAGGCAGCAGUGGGGAAUAUUGGACAAUGGGCGCAAGCCUGAUCCAGCCAUGCCGCGUGAGUGAUGAAGGCCUUAGGGUUGUAAAGCUCUUUCAGUGGGGACGAUAAUGACGGUACCCACAGAAGAAGCCCCGGCUAACUUCGUGCCAGCCGCCGCCGUAAGAC